rnacentral:rRNA from 1 species
CGGGUGAGUAACGCGUGAGGAACCUGCCUCAAAGAGGGGGACAACAGUUGGAAACGACUGCUAAUACCGCAUAAGCCCACAGUGCCGCAUGGUACAGAGGGAAAAGGAGCAAUCCGCUUUGAGAUGGCCUCGCGUCCGAUUAGCUAGUUGGUGAGGUAACGGCCCACCAAGGCGACGAUCGGUAGCCGGACUGAGAGGUUGAACGGCCACAUUGGGACUGAGACACGGCCCAG